rnacentral:rRNA from 1 species
AUUGAACGCUGGCGGCAGGCUUAACACAUGCAAGUCGAGCGGGGUGAUGGUGCUUGCACUAUCACUUAGCGGCGGACGGGUGAGUAAUGCUUAGGAAUCCGCCUAUUAGUGGGGGACAACAUCUCGAAAGGGAUGCUAAUACCGCAUACGUCCUACGGGAGAAAGCAGGGGAUCACUUGUGACCUUGCGCUAAUAGAUGAGCCUAAGCCGGAUUAGCUAGUUGGUGGGGUAAAGGCCUACCAAGGCGACGAUCUGUAGCGGGUCUGAGAGGAUGAUCCGCCACACUGGGACUGAGACACGGCCCAGACUCCUACGGGAGGCAGCAGUGGGGAAUAUUGGACAAUGGGGGGAACCCUGAUCCAGCCAUGCCGCGUGUGUGAAGAAGGCCUUAUGGUUGUAAAGCACUUUAAGCGAGGAGGAGGCUCUUUUGGUUAAUACCCAAGAUGAGUGGACGUUACUCGCAGAAUAAGCACCGGCUAACUCUGUGCCAGCAGCCGCCGUAA